rnacentral:lncRNA from 1 species
CCAUAAGCUAUAAGACAAGCAUCCGAGAGACAUUAUCCUCAUCAAUGGACUACUCCACUUCUCACCAAAGUGUAUGACUCACAUCGAAGUGCCCGCACUUUUCACCGAAGUGCCCUGCACCCUCCCACUAGGGGGCCCCUCACCCCCACCGGGGUGUAUUGCGUCGCAAAGUACGUCACUUUGCGAGUUGUCAUGUGCACACCCCCAACCUAAAUCACAUUAAUCAGUGCCUAAUUAGGCGGGAAGAUGUGAUCGGCACAAGCAACCAGCUGCGAAACGACACCUGUUAUCCACCACAAUAUCUCAAAACACAACAUGAUAUAAGGUAUCUAGUCAUUUUCCAUAUACACUGAUAAUUAAAGUCAAAUCCUCAAAUCAAAAAUAGUCAUACACACACACAUCUUACUGAAUUAAACGACUCUCUAUAAACUAGAAUAAUAUAUAUCAAACCCAACCAGUCAAUCAAAAAUCUAGCAAAAGCGAGACUACGCGACCCCGACUUCUCUUCCUAAGACUCCAACCUCGACCAGGAUGAUCACCACGUCUAUGUUGCAACCACAGUGAACCCAGACAGCUAACUGUAUAAUGUAAUCACCUCACCUGCCAAAACGGUCUGUGGGUGUGAUGCUAAUAAUCAACAUACUAAACAAUAGAUAAUCAUCUCAUAAAGAAUGAUAGUAUAAACAUCCACAAAAUAUCCCAACAUAGAGUGCAACCAAUGCAGAAAUGCAUCACCCACAUGUGCGCGCAAUUUUAGAUCACGUUGGCCCAAUAUCGAAACGGCUCUUAUUCAAGGAAUGCCCACCAUGGCACCCCUAGGGCUGUCCGCCGUACUAAGCCCUUAAGUUAAAACCCCGUGGUUAACUUUCACCAUGGCAAUGUCAAACACAGAAACCAAGAAAAUGAUUAUGCAUUGUCACAUCACCGACCUCAUUUAGAAUCAACCUCAUAAAUGAUCCCUCAGAAAUAAUAUCAGUAUCAUCAAUCGUAUAGAAGAUAACAAUUCAUAUGAAAGAUUAUCAUAUACUACUUUUUUCCACCUGUUACCGCACUCACCCGUAUCAGUCACUCUUGAGAUUGCCUGAAGGCCCUUCUCCUUCCUUACUCCUGUUAAUCACAAUUUAAUCAGUGCACAAGUACAAAAUAUAUAGACUCAAGCCCAUAAAUUUGUAUAAUUCAAUCGAGGAUCUCACUAAAUGGUAAGUAAUUAACAUCCUAUUAAAAUGUCCAGCGAUGAACUACGUUUUCAUUCACCGUUGAUCUCACAAACGCGCUCUUAUUAUUGCUAAUUCCCUUUCUGUAAUUCAUCAUUUAACUUUGGAAUUAGGUUUUAAACAAACCCUACCAUUGAAUUCAAAAUACUGAAAACCUAAAAAAUAACUAUUCAUACGACCCAAAACUCAUGCCGUUGAACCAAUUUCGACUAGGGGACACGAUAACUCUUAUGGCUCGACACUCGGACAUAAUUUCCAAUUUGUGGGAACCAUGACAUGCGGAAACUUUCACUCUAUUUUUGUUUUAAGUACAGAGACGUGUAUAUAUAUAUAUAUAUAUAUAUAUAUAUAUAAUUAUUUAUAUACACAACGCAUACCCCACAUAUACAUAUAUAUAUUUUAUAAUAUGUAUGCUUAUUUCAACACAAUAUUAAUUAUUUUCAACAAUUAACUCAAUUACACACCUAUUUAUGAUUUCAAUUUAACAUGAUCAAUAAUAUCAUUUCACUUAUAAAGGCUUAAAUUUCAUUGAUACUAGCCACAAUACUGAUUAAUCAAACGAAUUAUUAACAAAUCAAGAACUCACCCUUUAUAUUUGUGACUUCCCCUUUCCUUUCUUUUCUCCUUUGGUUCUCCUUUUCUCCUCUCAGUUUCUCUGUUCUUCUUUCUCUUUUCUUUUCUUUUCUGUUUUGUUUUCUUUUUUGUUUCUGUUUUCGUGAGAGCCGAAGCUCUCUCACUCCUCACACGCACACGUGCAUCACAUGCAAUUGCACACAUACACAUAAAAUUAUGCUUCAACCCCUCCACCUUUUUAAGUUAUUACAAUGUUUCAUAUCUUCUUUAAUUUAAUCCUAAACGUUUUGAAUCUUCUUAAUUUUAACCCCCAGCUAGUUUAAGUAUUCACGCUCUAACAUAUAACUUUAAUUAUAAUUUUACUCUCCUCACACAACUUUUUCUCCCCACAUAUAACACGCUCGAUUCCACCCUCAUUUAAACAACUAAUCAACAGAAUUACCAUAUAAAUAUGCAGGGAAUGAAACUAAUUAUGAAAUUAUUGAUUUAGGGUUCUCCACAUCAUGACUCCAUCUCUCCUCCCAUGUGCACACAAUUGGAGAGAUCAACCGCCAUUGAUCAAAUCGAGAGCGAAUGAGAACUCGUUUCGGCAUCGGCGUGGCCCUUCGCUGUACAACUUCUCAAAAUUGACUUGGUCUCCUUUCCACUGAACUUCUCUAAUGGGCAUCCUGCACUGGUCUGCACUACUCGUCACGUCUAGGCCAAUCACUUUC